UCAAGCUGUAAAGGGCGCAAGGGGAAUGCCUUGGCACCAGGAGCCGACGAAGGACGUGACAAGCUGCGAUAAGCUUGGGGGAGCUGCAAAUAAGCAUUGAUCCCAAGAUUUCCGAAUGGGGAAACCCACAUGAGGGAAGCUCAUGUAACCUAUGCUGAAUCAAAUAGGCAUAGGUGGGGAACCGCCUGAACUGAAACAUCUAAGUAGGGCGAGGAAGAGACAUCAACAGAGAUUCCGCCAGUAGUGGCGAGCGAACGCGGAAGAGGCCAAACCUGCGGUAGCAAUAUCGCAGGGGUUCGGACUGCAACAUGUAGUGUGGAAGAUAGCUGAACGCUUUGGGAAGAGCGGCGAGACAGGGUGACAGCCCCGUAAGCGACAUCGGAAGCACGCUAGCAGUAUCCAGAGUACCACAGGACACGAGGAACCCUGUGGGAAUACGGGUGGACCAUCAUCCAAGCCUAAAUACUACCUGGUGACCGAUAGAGAAGCAGUACCGUGAGGGAAAGGUGAAAAGGACCCCGGGAGGGGAGUGAAAGAGAACCUGAAACCUUGUGCCUACAAGCACCGAGAGCACGUUUAUGUGUGAUCGGGUACUUUUUGUAGAACGGUCCGGCGAGUUAAUGUAUGUAGCAAGGUUAAGGAACUGGAGUUCCGGAGCCGCAGCGAGAGCGAGUCUGAACAGGGCGAAUGAGUUACAUGUAUUAGACCCGAAACCGGGUGACCUAUCCAUGAGCAGGCUGAAGUUGCGGUAAGACGCAAUGGAGGGCCGCACCCACGUUCGUUGAAAAGACCGGGGAUGACUUGUGGAUAGCGGAGAAAUUCCAAUCGAACUCGGAUAUAGCUGGUUCUCCCCGAAAUAGCUUUAGGGCUAGCGUUAUGAGAGAUUACCGGAGGUAGAGCACUGAAUGGGCUAGGGGCCGCGAGGUUACUGAACCCUAUCAAACUUCGAAUGCCGGCUAAUUGAUUCAUGGCAGUCAGACUGUGUGAGAUAAGUCGCAUAGUCAAAAGGGAAACAGCCCAGAUCCGCAGCUAAGGUCCCAAAUGAAUACUAAGUGGAAAAUGAUGUGAAAUUGCUAAGACAACCAGGAUGUUGGCUUAGAAGCAGCCACUCAUUCAAAGAGUGCGUAAUAGCUCACUGGUCGAGUGAUUUUGCGCAGAAAAUUUAACGGGGCUAAGUAUUCAACCGAAGCUCGGGCAAUGCACAUUGUGUGUUGGGUAGGGGAGCGUCGUAUACGGGGUGAAGCAUGAUCGGAAGGACAUGUGGACUGUAUAGGAGUGAGAAUGCCGGAAUAAGUAGCGAGAAUUAUGUGAGAAUCAUAAUGGCCGAAAAUCUAAGGUUUCUUGGGGAAGGUUCGUCCGCCCAAGGUUAGUCGGGAGCUAAGGCGAGGCCUAACGGCGUAGUCGAUGCACAUACGGUUGAAAUUCCGUAACCACCGAAGAUGUUAAGCUGAGGGACACAUUCAUUAAUCCUAACCCGGGCGAUGGUUGCCCCGGGCGAAAGGGACCGAAAUAUAGUAGGGAAGUAGGAAGCGUGAGUGGCGAGAAAAGCUCAGUGUAUUAUCCAGGUGCCCGUACCGCAAACCGACACAGGUAGAUGGGAUGAGUAUUCUAAGGCCAACGGGAGAAUGGUUGUUAAGGAACUCGGCAAAUUGGCCCCGUAACUUCGGAAUAAGGGGCGCCUCUGAGAAGAGGCCGCAGUGAAAAGGCCCAAGCGACUGUUUAGCAAAAACACAGCUCUCUGCUAAAUCGAAAGAUGACGUAUAGGGGGUGACGCCUGCCCGGUGCUGGAAGGUUAAGAGGAGAAGUUAGAGCAAUCGAAGCUUUGAAUUUAAGCCCCAGUAAACGGCGGCCGUAACUAUAACGGUCCUAAGGUAGCGAAAUUCCUUGUCAGGUAAGUUCUGACCCGCACGAAUGGCGU
rnacentral:rRNA from 1 species